GAGAGCCUGGGGCGGGGCUCCGCCUCGCCGCGCUCCUCCGGCGGUCGUGGAAACCGGAAGUGGGCCGGGCCGGCGGCGCGGCUUCCGCGUCCGGGCGCGGCUCCCCCGGCCCCCGCGGUCGUGCUCCCCGGCCCGGAAGGCAUCGUGGGGGCCGUCGCGCGCGUUCGUGCAGCAGCAUUUCCCGCGCGGGCGCGGUGGCCGUCGCAGAGAAGGGGCGGCUGGCGGCCGCGGCCCCCUCCGCCCCGGGCAGGGCCCCGGCUCCGGGCACGAGUGAGCCGGCCCGGAAGGCUGGGGGCCUCCGCGCCGCGGCCCGCGCGCACGGCUGGACGCUCUGCUCGCCCUCCUCCGUCCGACGAGGAUUUGCGGGGCGCAUGCCAUUACCCGGAAGCUGGCGGGCGCGGGAGUCGGGACCCCGGCAGCCGGGGGUCCCCGUAAACCGCCGUCCGUCGGAGGAGUAAGGACCUCGGAAAGUUUGCAGCCCUCUCCCCCCAUAAAUCCAAGGGAAAGCUCGCAGAGAUCGUCUUCAACGUCUUCAGAACCCUGGAAGCUAAUUAACCGAAGGACUGCAGCAUCCCAGCAGCGUUUGUUUAAGAAAAGCAGCCCAAUCUCGGUAAGAACAGGGAGCUGGGAGGUGUUUCCACUUUCCCUGGUUAAAGCUGCUGCCCAGCCCGGAGGUAAUCCUGGAAACGACAGCCCACACUCCUGGUACUGAAGGGAGCGGAACCCCUUCCGUGCAGAUAAUUGCCGUAUUUGACUUGUGUGCGGGCCCUCCUGCAAACCUCGCUGCGCUCGCCUCGACCGGACUGAGAUGCUUCCCUGCUCGAACAUAAGGAGCAGUCAGUGCCGAGAGCUGACCCGGACCUGACUGAGACCUCAUCUCAGCCGCCGCCCACAGACUGACUUCGUGUUUGGUUUGUGAACUCCCUACCCCCUUGUUAUCUUGUUUGUUGUGUGCCGUUUAAGAAGCCAAGUUAAUCACAUGGUGAAGUAUCACUGAGGCUGGAAUCCUAAACCUGCUUUAUAUUAACCUUGCUUUCUGAUUGAAUAAAGCGGACACUGGGGAAAGACACAGCUCGUGUGUGCACCUUCACAGCGUGUUCAGGACACGUGCUCUACUGCAUAUUUGAAUAGAUAGAAGAAAGAAUUAGUAAACUUGAAGUUAGGUCACUUGAGAUUGUCCAGUCUGAGGAACAGGAAAAAAAAAAGACCAUUGGUCUUUUUGGUGGAACACCAUUAAGCAUACCAGCCUAGGCAUAAUUUUCAGGAGCAGAAAAGAGACAGAAAAGGCACAGAAAGAAUAUUUGAAAAAAUAAUGCCUGAAAAUUUCCUAGAUUUGAUGAAAAGCAUGAAUCUUCACAUCCAGGAAAGUCAAUGAAUGCCAAGUAGGAUAAACUGAAAAAGAUCCCCACUUAGACACUUCAUAAAUUGUUGAAAGCCAAAGAAAAAGACUCUUGAAACCAGCAAGAGAAGUGACUCAUCACAUAUAAGCGAUCGAAAUACAAACACGUAUUUCACAUUAGAAACCAUGGAGGUCAAAAGGCAGUGGGAUUACCUUUUCCAAGUGCUGAAAGAGCAAACCUACCAAGAAUUCUAUAUAUGGCAAAACUGUCCCUCAGAAACAAAGGAUAAAUUAAGACAACCCCAGAUAAAUAAACUAGGAGAGCUUGUUACAAGAACCCUGCCCUCCAAAAACUACUCAAUGGGGUCUUCAGGCUGAAAUAAAAGGACACGAGGCAGUAACUCAAAUCCACAUGAAGAAAUAACACCAGUUAAAAAAAAAAAAAAGGGACCAGUAAAGGUACAUAGGUAAAUAUAAAAACAAAUAUAAAUGCAUUUUUGUUUAUAAUUUUUUCCUAUCUGAUUAAAAAAACCUGCAUAAAAGUGAUAACUAUAAAUGUGUGGACAGGCACAGGAGGCAUAAAGAUGGAAUUUGUGACAACAGCAUAAAGAAGGGGUGCGGUUAUAUAAGAGCAACAUCUUUUAAUACUACUGAAGUUAACUUAC